rnacentral:sRNA from 1 species
UCCCAUAGCAUGCUCGGUUGCGAAGACCUU